rnacentral:rRNA from 1 species
UGAGUAAUACAUAAGUAACCUGCCCUAGACAGGGGGAUAACUAUUGGAAACGAUAGCUAAGACCGCAUAGGUACGGACACUGCAUGGUGACCGUAUUAAAAGUGCCUCAAAGCACUGGUAGAGGAUGGACUUAUGGCGCAUUAGCUGGUUGGCGGGGUAACGGCCCACCAAGGCGACGAUGCGUAGCCGACCUGAGAGGGUGACCGGCCACACUGGGACUGAGACACGGCCCAGACUCCUACGGGAGGCAGAUG